rnacentral:rRNA from 1 species
AACGAACGCUGGCGGCAUGCCUAACACAUGCAAGUCGAACGAGACCUUCGGGUCUAGUGGCGCACGGGUGCGUAACGCGUGGGAAUCUGCCCCUUGGUUCGGAAUAACAGUUAGAAAUGACUGCUAAUACCGGAUAACGACGAAAGUCCAAAGAUUUAUCGCCGAGGGAUGAGCCCGCGUAAGAUUAGCUUGUUGGUGAGGUAACGGCUCACCAAGGCGACGAUCUUUAGCUGGUCUGAGAGGAUGAUCAGCCACACUGGGACUGAGACACGGCCCAGACUCCUACGGGAGGCAGCAGUGGGGAAUAUUGGACAAUGGGCGAAAGCCUGAUCCAGCAAUGCCGCGUGAGUGAUGAAGGCCUUAGGGUUGUAAAGCUCUUUUACCCGGGAUGAUAAUGACAGUACCGGGAGAAUAAGCUCCGGCUAACUCCGUGCCAGCCGCCGCUGUAACAC